rnacentral:rRNA from 1 species
UGGGGGAUAUUGCACAAUGGGGGAAACCCUGAUGCAGCGAUGCCGCGUGAAUGAAGACGGCCUUCGGGUUGUAAAGUUCUGUCGCAGGGGACGAAAAUGACGGUACCCUGCAAGAAAGCUCCGGCUAACUACGUGCCAGCAGCCGCGGUAAUACGUAGGGAGCAAGCGUUGUCCGGAAUUACUGGGUGUAAAGGGAGCGUAGGCGGGAGGAUAAGUUGAAUGUGAAAUCUAUGGGCUCAACCCAUAGCUGCGUUCAAAACUGUUCUUCUUGAGUGAAGUAGAGGCAGGCGGAAUUCCUAGUGUAGCGGUGAAAUGCGUAGAUAUUAGGAGGAACACCAGUGGCGAAGGCGGCCUGCUGGGCUUUUACUGACGCUGAGGCUCGAAAGCGUGGGUAGCAAACAGG